UACGUAGGCAGCGAGCGUUGUUCGGAGUUACUGGGCGUAAAGCGUGCGUAGGCGGUGCCAUAAGUCUGUUGUGAAAUCUCCCGGCUUAACUGGGAGGGUGCGGUGGAAACUGUGGUGCUGGAGUGUGGGAGAGGUAGGCGGAAUUCCUGGUGUAGCGGUGAAAUGCGUAGAUAUCAGGAGGAACACCUGUGGUGUAGACGGCUUACUGGACCAUGACUGACGCUGAGGCACGAAAGCCAGGGGAGCAAACGGG
rnacentral:rRNA from 1 species